rnacentral:rRNA from 1 species
AUAACGACUCUYGGCAACGGAUAUCUYGGCUCUYGCAUCGAUGAAGAACGUAGCGAAAUGCGAUACUUGGUGUGAAUUGCAGAAUCCCGUGAACCAUCGAGUCUUUGAACGCAAGUUGCGCCGUAAGCCUUCUGGCCGAGGGCACGUCUGCCUGGG